GGGCGUGUGGUCUAGGGGUAUGAUGUUCGCUUCGCAUCUUUGAUCUGAUUAUCAGACGAUAUGUAAUUGCGAAAGGUCGAGGGUUCAAUUCCCUCCUCGUCCA
rfam:Fusarium poae strain 2516 chromosome FPOA_3 Chr3, whole genome shotgun sequence.